CUGUCUUAAUCACUCAUUUGUUGCAGUUUAAUAACAUAAUUUUACAGGCUGACUGUUAUCACUAUCUCUUUGAUGCUGCUAUUAAGCUUCAUCAAGGCAUUGAUUAGUUUUCUCCAACUCAGGGUCGGAUUGGGAGCAUCAAAGGAAUCUCAAGCAACAUUUCUGUUAAGGCUGGGGCUCAAGGUUUAGAUAAUAAAAAUGAAUGGUUGCCAGUGAGUUAACUUGCACCCUACUUAAUUGGGAAGCUUAAGAUUUGAGGUUUUAGUUUUUCAUUCUUUUCUUUUCCCUUUGAGGUAUUCCAUUUUUGUAUCUGAUAUCAUUGCUUAUAUAUUUUAUUUGCCUUGGUGGUUGGUGUUGGGUUAAGGACAAUGUUUGUGGUCAGUUUCUGACAGGCACAGUUUGGUAUAUUAAAAAACAUAAUGUAAAGUAUUAAUGAUCAGCUAUGUUGAUGAUUCUGGUGGUCUGGAAGUAACUCUAGGCAUUAAAUUCAUUAUGUUUGUUGGAGAAUAGAAACUGUGAUUUUAUUUGUAUAGUAUCAUCAACUUAUUCUUAAUAGUUGUUAGUUGAUUUUUUUUAUGACUGAAUAAGCUGAACAUACUUCCAUAUGCAUUUAUUGAAUUUCAGCCUUCUUUGUUAACGUCUCUUCCCACUUGUACUUGUUGAUUUAUAAUUAAAUUCCCUAUUUGCUUUUGGUUGUUUACACAUUCGUGCAAGUUCUUGGUGCUCUUUUAUCUGAAUAUGAAGACCAGCUGAAUUUUCUUAAGAAGCAGCUGGAAGCCAGUGAGAAGUAUAAGUUUGAAAGCAAUAUGAACAUGCCAUCAAUGAUAAGAAAAAGCCUGUUGAUGACUACAUGAAGAAGGACGCACAAAUAAGCAAACAAGGCUUAGAGAAGAUGGUUUGAGGAAGGAUUCUUCAAUAUUUUGGCUGAGAAGAUAAACCUUCAUCAUCCACCAUACUCACACCAUUUGGAAGCAUAUUCUAUUUCGUCACUCAAAUACUUGAAUUGCUAUAAUGAUUAAGUAUCUUUGUUUUUUGUUUGUUUGUUUUUCCUGUGAUGCAAGAAGAUGGAUUUAAGGACCAGACAACAAAAAUUAAGCAGGCUGAGGAGCAUUUGACAACUUUAGAGCUUGAGCUGAAGGUUGCCGAGUCAAAAAUUGGAAGUUAUGAUGUGAAAGUAUGUUCUUUGAGGCAUGAAAUAAAAGAGCUAAAGGAAAGAUUGGAAACCACAAAUGCAAGGAUUCAAUUGUUUGAGAAAGAAGGAAAGAUUUUGCAACAAUAAAGGGUUCAUAUUGUAGCUUACACAAGUAUAUUAGACAUAGAUGGAAAGUUUGGGCUAUUGUAAUUAAGUAUGUAAUGACCAACUAUAUGUAUAAUUCAUUGAUAUAUACAAUUUGUUAUAAUAUAAUUGUUCAAUUAAUGUA